AGCGGCAACCUGCUGGGGUCCUCUUCCACGAUGGAGUUUUGUUCUUUUGCUCAUUGCACUAAAUCCUGUUGCUGAUCCCUGUUUGGGGCCGCACUGCCUUUAUGAAAUGUAACACUCACGGAGAAGGUCUGCAGCUUCACUCCUGGGGUUGGCCAGACCACAAACCCACCAGGAGGAAUGAACAACUCCAGACAGGAGGAACGAACUACUCCAGAUGCACCACCUUAAGAGCCUUGACACUCACUGUGUAGGUCUGCAGCUUCACUCCUGAAACCAGCCAGACCACGAACCCACCAGAAGGAAGAAAUUCCAGACACAUCAUAACAUCAGAAAGAACAAAUUCUGGACACGCCAUCUUUAAAAACUGUCACACUGCGAGGGUCUGCAGCUUCAUUCUUGAAGGCAGUGAGACCAAGAAUCCACCAAUUCUGGGCACAUUAGGGGAAUGUCUCUGCCUCUAGGCCAUUCAACAGACCAUGGGGUGGGGAAGAUGCAGGCUUGUCCUCUACCCUGUGACUGUCUGGGCCACCUAAGAGAGGUAGCCUGGAGGAGUGGCCAGGAGCAGAAACUUUGGCAUCACACUGCCUGAGAUGAUACCUGCUAUUAUUUACCAGUUUUGGGGCCUUGGAUAAGAUUCCUGACUUGUUUCAUCCUACUGGUUCUUUUCAAAUUAUACCUGUGAUAAUUCAGCUGUUAAAAGAGGAGUUUUGAAGUCCUGUUAAUACGUGACUCGAGGAAAAUCCAAGAGUGGGAGCCACUGCAACCUUUCAUCCAAUAGCCAUGGUCACGGCCAAAGCCAAGCAAUCCUGCCAUCUUUGGGCUCCAGAAUAAAAGAGCUUCACUCUUCCCAAGGUUUACCUGUGAGGACCAAGUUUUCUCACAUUACUUGAAGUGAUUCUUACCCUUAUCUUUACACUGUG
rnacentral:lncRNA from 10 species